ensembl:lncRNA
AGAGAGAGAGAGAGAGAGAGAGAGAGAGAGAGAGAGAGAGGAGUUGCUGUUAACAGACGUAGGGAAGAAAAUAUAUACAAAUUCCAUCUCGACACUGUUUCCCUAGAGCACACAAAAAACUAUACAUACCUCGGCCUAAACAUCAGCAACACAGGUAACUUCCACAAAGCUGUGACCGAUCUGAGAGACAAGGCAAGAAGGGCCUUCUGUGCCAUCCAUACGAACAUAAAAUUUGACAUACCAAUUAGGAUCUGGCUAAAAAUACUUCAAUCAGUCAUAGAGCCCAUUGCCCUUUACGGUUGUGAGGUCUGGGGUCCGCUCACCAACCAAGACUUCACAAAAUGGGACAAACACCAAACUGAGACUCUGCACGCAGAAUUCUGCAAAAAUAUCCUUCGUGUACAACGUAGAACACCAAAUAAUGCAUGCAGAGCAGAAUUAGGCCGAUACCCACUAAUUAUCAAAAUCCAGAAAAGAGCCAUUAAAUUCAACAACCACCUACAAGGAAGCGAUCCUGAGGCUCUGUUGACAAACACAAACACACCCCACAGAGCCCCAGGACAGCAACACAAUUAGACCCAAACAAAUCAUGAGAAAACAAAAAGAUAAUUACUUGACAUAUUGGAAAGGAUUUACCAGUCUGGAAUGCUAUUUGGCCCUAACCAGAGAGUACACAGUGGCAGAAUACCUGACCACUGUGACUGACUCAAACUUAAAGAAAGCUUUGUCUAUGUACAGACUCAGUGAGCAUAGCCUUGCUAUUGAGAAAGGCCGCCGUAGGCAGACAUGGCUCUCAAGAGAAGACAGGCUAUGUGCUCACUGCCCACAAAAUGAGGUGGAAACUGAGCUGCACUUCCUGAAAUCCUGCCAAAUGUAUGACCAUAUUAGAGACAAAUACUUCCGCGAAGAAAAAACCCCAUUGUAAAUACAACCCAUAUUUAUGUUUAAUUAUUUUCCCUUUUGUACUUUAACUAUACAAAUCGUUAUAACAUAGCCAUAAUAUGGAGAGAGAGGUGGCUAUAAUCAGACAUAGGGAAGAGAGAGAUAAGGAGAGAGAGAGAGAGAGAGAGAGAUGGCUAUAAACUAACAUAGGGAAGAGAGAGAGAGAGAGAGAUAUGGCUAUAAACUAACAUAGAGAGAGAGAGGUGGCUGUAAACAGACGAUGGGAAGAGAGAGAGAGAGAGGUGGCUAUAAUCAGACAUAGGGAAGAGAGAGAGGUGGCUAUAAACAGAUGUAGGGAAGAGAGAGAGAGAGGUGGCUAUAAUCAGACAUAGGGAAGAGAGAGAGAGAUAUGGCUAUAAACUAACAUAGGGAAAAGAGAGAGAGAGGUGGCUGUAAACAGACGAUGGGAAGAGAGAGAGAGAGGUGGCUAUAAUCAGACAUAGGGAAGAGAGAGCGAGAGAGAGGUGUCUGUAAACAGGUGUAGGGAAGAGAGAUAGAUAAGGAGAGAGAGAGAUGGCUAUAAACAGACUCGGGGAAGAGAGAGAGCGAGAUGGCUGUAAACAGACUCAGGAAAGAGAGAUAGCGAGAUGGCUGUAAACAGGUGUAGGGAAAGAGAGAGAGAGAGAUGGCUGUAAACAGACUCAGGGAAGAGAGAUAGCAAGAUGGCCGUAAACAGACUCAGGAAGAGAGAGAGAUAGCGAGAUGGCUAUAAACAGACUCAGGGAAGAGAGAGAGCAAGAUGGCUGUAAACAGACUCAGGAAAGAGAGAUAGCGAGAUGGCUGUAAACAGGUGUAGGGAAGAGAGAGAGAGAGAUGGCUGUAAACAGACUCAGGGAAGAGAGAUAGCAAGAUGGCUGUAAACAGACUCAGGGAAGAGAGAGAGAUAGCGAGAUGGCUAUAAACAGACUCAGGGAAGAGAGAGAGAUAGCAAGAUGGCUAUACACAGACUCAGGGAAGAGAGAGAGAGAGAUGGCUAUAAAAAGAUGUAGGGAAGAGAAAGAGAUAGCGAGAUGGCUAUAAACAGACUCAGGGAAGAAAGAGAGAUAGCAAGAUGGCUAUAAACAGACUCAGGGAAGAGAGAGAGAUAGCGAGAUGGCUGUAAACAGACUCAGGGAAGAGAGAGAGAUAGCGAGAUGGCUAUAAACAGACUCAGGGAAGAGAGAGAUAGCGAGAUGGCUAUAAACAGACUCAGGGAAGAGAGAGAUAGCGAGAUGGCUAUAAACAGACUCAGGGAAGAGAGAGAGAUAGCGAGAUGGCUAUAAACAGACUCGAGGGAGAGAUAGCGAGAUGGCUAUAAACAGACUCAGGGAAGAGAGAGAGAUGGCUAUAAACAGACAUAGGGAAGAGAGAGAGAGAGAGAGAUGGCUAUAAACAGACUCAGGGAAGAGAGAGAGAUAGCGAGAUGGCUAUAAACAGACUCAGGGAAGAGAGAGAGAUAGCAAGAUGGCUAUAAACAGACUCAGGGAAGAAGAGAGAUAGCGGUGUCUGUCUGGGAAUAAGUGAUACCUUGCUGAGAUCCCACCUUCAAAUACACACCCCCUUACCUUUCCUAAACAGUGGAUUUGCCUAUUUGCUCAUACAAUUUCC